UACGUAGGGGGCGAGCGUUGUCCGGAGUACUGGGCGUAAAGACGCACGCAGGCGGUCUGCUAAGUUUGGAGUGACAGUUGGUGGCUUAACUGCCAAAGUGCUUCGAAAACUGACAGACUUGAGGGCUUCAGAGGGACACGGAAUUCCGGGUGGAGUGGCGAAAUGCGUAGAGAUCCGGAAGAACACCGGUGGCGAAGGCGGCCUGCUGGGCAGUUUUGCUGACACUGAGGCGCGACGAGCGUGGGGAGCAAACAGG
rnacentral:rRNA from 1 species